rnacentral:rRNA from 1 species
GGAUGAUCAGCCACACUGGAACUGACACACGGUCCAGACUCCUACGGGAGGCAGCAGUGAGGAAUUUUGCGCAAUGGGGGAAACCCUGACGCAGCAACGCCGCGUGAGUGAUGAAGGCUUUCGGGUCGUAAAGCUCUGUCAAGUGGGAAGAAACCACGAAGUGAUAAUAUCGCUUUGUGCUGACGGUACCACUGAAGGAAGCACCGGCUAACUCCGUGCCAGCAGCCGCGGUAAUACGGGGGUGCAAGCGUUAUUCGGAAUCAUUGGGCGUAAAGGGCGCGUAGGCGGUUUGUUAAGUCAGAUGUGAAAGCCCGGGGCUCAACCCCGGAAGUGCAUUUGAUACUGCGGACUUGAGUAUGGGAGAGGGAAGUGGAAUUCCUGGUGUAGAGGUGGAAUUCGUAGAUAUCAGGAGGAACACCGGUGGCGAAGGCGACUUCCUGGACCAAUACUGACGCUGAGGCGCGAAGGCGUGGGUAGCACACAGGAUUAGAUACCCUGGUAGUCCACGCAGUAAACGGUGAUCACUAGGUGUAGCGGGUAUUGACCCCUGCUGUGCCGCAGUUAACGCAUUAAGUGAUCCGCCUGGGGAGUACGGCCGCAAGGUUAAAACUCAAAGGAAUUGACGGGGGCCCGCACAAGCGGUGGAGCAUGUGGUUUAAUUCGACGCAACGCGAAGAACCUUACCUGGGUUUGACAUCUCGGGGAUUUUUUGGAAACAAGAAAGUGCCCUUCGGGGAGCCCGAAGACAGGUGCUGCAUGGCUGUCGUCAGCUCGUGUCGUGAGAUGUUGGGUUAAGUCCCGCAACGAGCGCAACCCUUAUCUUUAGUUACCAUCACUUCGGGUGGGGACUCUAAAGAUACUGCCCCGGUCAACGGGGAGGAAGGUGGGGAUGACGUCAAGUCCUCAUGGCCUUUAUGCCCAGGGCUACACACGUGCUACAAUGGGCGAUACAAAGGGUAGCGAGCCUGCGAAGGUGAGCCAAUCCCAAAAAGUCGUUCUUAGUUCGGAUUGGAGUCUGCAACUCGACUCCAUGAAGCUGGAAUCGCUAGUAAUCGCGGAUCAGCACGCCGCGGUGAAUACGUUCCCGGGCCUUGUACACACCGCCCGUCACACCAUGAGAGUUGGUUGUACCAGAAGUUGUUGGGCUAACCCGCAAGGGAGGCAGGCACCUAAGGUAUGGCUGAUGAUUGGGGUGAAGUCGUAACAAGGUA